CAGACAGAGAAGCCACUGAAGAGGAAUAGCCUGUUCUUCACAUUGGAGAUAGAAGUGUUUGCCCGCCAUUGCAUCUGUUCGCCUUUGCGCAUUUCUGAAGGCACCGCUCCUGCCAUCCGAUCAUCCUGAGGCCGCCUGCUUCGUGGAUGUGUUCUCUGGCUCUCUAUAAGCCUUGAACAUUUCCUGCAAACGUCUGCACUUGGCCUACACAGCACUUCCAGCAGGACCGGCAGUCUCACCCAAGAAGCCCUUGUACAGGCAAAGGAACAGAGGACAAAGGAUGGAACCGCAAGGACUCCACUCCCAUCAGGUUGUGGCCCAUGAACGUGUCAGUGGGGCCAGAUGUCCCAGCUGGUGUGCCAGCGAGGUCAUGGACGUUGGACAUUUGGGGCAAAUCAAAGGUGCAAGGACUAUUGAGAAGCAGCCACCACAACAUUGAUACGUUUGAAAGCAUUGCACAGCAGAUGGUGGGCAGAGGACACUGUCGUACGGCCACGGAGUGCAGGAACAAGACAAAGUUGAUGAGAGUGGAGUAUAGACGGGUAGUAGCUCACAACUCUAAAUCCGGCAACAGCAGGACCACUUCCCCAUACUUUGAACAACUGCACAACAUUCUGAGAGGGGAUGCCAGCGUGACUCCGCUGUGAGUGGCCCGAAGUCUGCAUGUGCGUAAUAGCAAUGAUGCACCCCAGACUCCAUCCUCUGGCAAGAACUGCACGGAAACAACAGCUUUGCCAGCAGCACCCCACGUGGGCUCAUCAAGGCAAAGUGAAUCGACCACAAUCAACAGAAGUGACAUCGAGGAAUGUGGACUGUUGGGUAAGACAUCAUCAGCUUACCCCGAAGCAACCACUCGGACUGGUGACAGCAAGCAUGGGUGGAGGCAACGAGUUGCCGAUACAGCUGCCAAUGAAGACCCAGAAGGUCUUGACUGAAGGUCAAGGCCUAUGUGGACAACAACCAGGAAGGUGAGCAGUCAGACGUCUCCAUCUUGACUUUAAACGCCCGAAACUUCUUUCCACCACAUUUCUGUAGCGGUUGAACACCUGGUUGAAACCCAUCUGGAAGUUGUCUAGAUAGCCCCCAUAGGGCUUCAUCAGCCAACAGUGCAUUGGGUAGGCGGCAUCGGCAAGGAUGAGGGGAGGCACCUGAACACCCCUGAUGGUUAUGCUGAGAUUACCAGGAAUGAACACUCCGGCAUCCAUCGCCUGAAAGAUUGCAGAAUUGUGGAAAACAAAAGGAUCAUGAUUCCAUCCACUCCAACCAACCUCAAUGUUAAUGAAACGACCAGUAUGGUCACAAGUCCCUUGCAGUAAGAUUGAGUAAAAACCCUUGUGGUUGAUAUAUUCCUCGCCCUGUCCUGCUGGAUACAUUAUUGGAAUGUGACAUCCAUCAACAACCCCAAUCACCUGAGGGAAACCCAUUUUCAGGAAGCCGUGCAUAAUCUGAAAAAAAAGGCGUGCAAGCUUUAGUGCAAUGGCGCUUUUCCGAUUUUGCGCUAGUCCGAUCACCAUAACAGUUACCCUUGUAAUACCAACACUGUCCACACUAAAAAGAAAAAUUGAAAAACUAACCUCCUGAGAAUUUCCAAUAUUAACAGUUUUGGACAGAAGAAGAUGCUCUAUCUCCAGGCACACCUCUAUGACAAUGUCUCCGAUGGUUGACUUUCCCAGUCCGAAGUUCACCGCUACCUCCCGGUAACACUCCAUUGUUGCCAGCCACUAAACAACAACAGCCAGCCUCUUCUCAACCGGAAUGGCACUAUGCAUAUUGGUUCCUUGUCUUUCAAGAUGGGGUUGAAGAAGAUCUGCCAUUUCGUACAAGGUAGCCCAAGUCAUACGAAAGUUGGCUGGCCAUAGAUUAUCAUCCCAGUGUUGCAAAACUUCAGUCUCCCACCAGGAUCUUGCAUGAUCGUGAACCCAAACCCUGCGAGGGAUAUUUCCACCCAAAGUGCUGCAGGCCAUGACUGCCAACUUUUUCAAAGGGGACCCCCUACAUUUGUUGCGGUCAUGCAGCUGCUUGUGGCUUUUUUCCCAUAUCAUAUGAAGCAGCUUAUCCUCCUCCGCCCCCCCUUCUUGCUCUGCCGACAGGAACUGAAGGAAAACAUCCCUCAGCUGCACAAGGCACAAAUUUAAAAGCCGUAAGUGGAGCUGAACUAGAGCCAAAAACACUGUUACCUCCAUUGUAGCCAUAACUAAUAGAGUAUCAGGAAAUUCAAACUUUCGCACUUCUGCGUUCAAGGCAAGCACAUGCGCACAACUGAUAAACGUGCAAGGGGACAGAGGAGUACACAUCAUGUUUUACCAACCAAUUCGAUGAGAGUGGGUUGUGUCAGGGGCGGGGCUUGAAAAAAAGCAAGAAGAAUGCCAAACCUUUUGGCUGCAUGUGUGGCUCAAAAAAAAGUGUGCUUUGCAGAUCGGGAAAGAGCAGGAAAGGAGCGGGAAAAGGGGCAAGUGGGGACUCUUGGGUGACAGAGCGGGUAUGGAAAACCUGGAUUAUCCCGCUCCAUUUGGAUGAGCCCAAAGUAUAGCAAUGGCAAAGAAUUUCCCCUUCCUUCUGUUGUUAUGAGGGCAAUUCCCAGGCCACACCUCCAAAGAGCUCAAAGCACAUUCUUUGUAGCUAGCCAGGAGAAGGGUGUGUUUGCUAGUUUGGGUUAUUGGUUUUUAUUGAGAUUUGUUAAGAGA